rnacentral:rRNA from 1 species
UACAGAGGGGGCAAGCGUUGUUCGGAAUUACUGGGCGUAAAGGGCGCGUAGGCGGCCUUCUAAGUCGAACGUGAAAUCCCCAGGCUCAACCUGGGAACUGCGUCGGAUACUGGAUGGCUUGAAUUCGGGAGAGGGAUGCAGAAUUCCAGGUGUAGCGGUGAAAUGCGUAGAUAUCUGGAGGAAUACCGGUGGCGAAGGCGGCAUCCUGGACCGACAUUGACGCUGAGGAGCGAAAGCUAGGGGAGCAAACGGG